AGCGCAGACGGAACUGCAAGUCUGAUGUGAAAGCCCGGGGCUCAACCGCGGGACUGCAUUGGAAACUGUAGAUCUGGAGUGCCGGAGGGGCAAGCGGAACUCCUGGUGUAGCGGUGAAAUGCGUAGAUAUCAGGAGGAACACCGGCGGCGAAGGCGGCUUGCUGGACGGCAACUGACGUUGAGGCUCGAAAGCGUGGGGAGCAAACAG
rnacentral:rRNA from 1 species